GAUAGCCACCCAAGAAAACGCCAUGAAAGAUAUUGAUAUCAAGAGACUACUGUAUACCCAUCUUUUGUGUGUAUUUUCAAUUAUACUAAGCGUCUUCAUUCCAUCAUUCUUCUUGGAGAACUUCUCAAUAUUGGAAACACAUUUGACAUGGUUGUGCAUCUGUUCUGGUUUUGUGACUGCUGUCAAUCCAGUGUUAUAUUUCGUAGUGAAACCAAAUGCAUCCUCUAAAAGAAGUUCAUUAUCACACAAGGUAACCAGAUUUUUGAAAUGCUGUAUCUACUUUCUUAUGUCUUGUUUCACCUUUCAUAUAAUUUUUGUUCUGUAUGGAGCACCACUAAUAGAGUUGGUGCUGGAAACAUUUUUAUUUGCAGUUAUCUUGUCUACUUUUACUACUAUACCUUGUUUAUGUUUGUUAGGACCAAACCUCAAAGCAUGGCUAAGAGCUUUCAGUAGAAAUGGAGUUACAUCAUUUGGGAAAAUAGUCUCCAGAUCACUACAAUUUCUAGUUGUGUAGGAGCAUGGCUUAGAGCACUUCCUAUUCCACUGGACUGGGAAAGACCAUGGCAGGUAUGGCCCAUCUCCUGUACGCUUGGGGCGACCUUUGGCUAUGUGGCUGGCCUUGUUACUUCACCACUCUGGAUAUACUGGAAUAGAAAGCAACUUACGUACAAGAACAAUUAAUUGGAGCAAAGGGAGAAGAUAUUUCUUUGUGCAGAUUCCAUAUGGGCUGUGCAGAAAUGUAUGUGGUCAAAGGCAAGCAGCUCCAUUUACAGCACUGUUUUUUAUGUAGUUACAUGAUGUGAUUGUAGCUUUUUAAACUAUGAAACCCCUGAGAGAUUGUACCUUCUAGUUGAAAUAAAGUAUUUAUAAUA